CCCCUUCGCUGCUCCCAGAAGAAUGUGAUGAAUCGAGGGUUUCCAGACCGGCUUUGCGCCGUAAUUGCUGUAAGCCGUCGCCACAUGGAAUCCAGCCCGGCCGCCCCAUCCCCGUCCCGAAAGCCAGGCCGGAUAGGAACCCGCGCUGCCAGUCUGGCCUGUUCUGCCAGCCUCCGUUAGCAGAGGUGGGUUGGACACCAGGGCGGGGGAAGAGCAUGAGUGGAGAUGGGGAGGAAGCACCCACUAAAGUAUCCUCAGCAUCACCAACUCAGAGCCUCCAGUUCAACUCAUCACUCCAGGGGCUAAAAAUGCGGCCAAGUCUAGCGGACGGAGCAGAGGACCGGGAGCCAGGAACUCCUGCUUUCUAACCCCAGCACUGCCACCUGCUGGCCAGGGAACUGCGUAAGCACCUUAGCAGGAGGCAAACUGCCAGGUCAGGGGGCGAGUGGGGCGUGUCCCAGCAUCACUAAACCCAGUCGUCACCAGCAAACGUCCGAGUUUUUUAUCCUGCUUCGGUGCCCCUCCGUGCACGGCUCCCCUGGGGCCAGGAGAAAGGGGAGUUGCACCGGCCUGGGGAUUAGCAGGUGAAACAGCCCUGCUGACUGAUCUGUGCAUCUGUAACGUGUUAGCCCCGUUUAAAAAUGACUGGACGUAAGAGCAGCCCUUCGCGGCGAGCAGGGAGAACAUCCGCUGGAGGAAACGUCCUUGAAGGAGCCCGUCAGCACUCAUCUUCCAAAAUACUCCACGGCCUCACCUGGACUGGGCCCAGGCAGGGAGCAAACCAAUGACCUCCUGAGCGAACAGCACGAGUCUGUUUGUACAGCUUGUAUAAAAGAGUCAGGCUCUCAAGCCGAGAGGAGUCAUAGACUCACAUCCUCCGUAGGUAAUCAUCCGACCCCCACCGACCCGGUGGAUCACACACGCAAAAACUGAAAAAUGACAAUCACUGAAAUGUGCGCCUGAGAGUGAUGCACCCCGUAAUUUACAGAUUGUCAUUUUUCAGGCUAAAGUCUGUUUUUAAGCGGUAUCAGAUACAACCCUCCCCCCAACCCCGCCCUGUAGAUCAGCAGCAAGAUUUAACCCCCUUGCCUGUCCGUUCCCUGGCUUUGACCCUUACCACUUGAGCUACAGACGUAGCAGCUAGCCCCUUUCCAGACCAGCAGUUGGAGGAGGAUGUAACCCACCUAUUACUCAAGGGUUACACCAUCAUUUCGAAGGCAGCAGUCGACUUCUCGUGCUCAGGAAUCCUGAUUCUAUUCUCAGUUUAGGGGGAAGGCGUGUGGGUAGAGAUAGGGCAACCAAUGCUCUGAAAGGCAGCAUGGUGCAGCAGAUAACACUGGAGGUCUCCUCUUAGAGCACUGGGUUGUGGGCCUGCCAUGACCUUGCGUAAACUCUCUGCUAGCUUAUUUAAAAAAUGGAAGGAGGGGAUUGGUCAGGAGCUCUUCCCUAACAGUCUUCGAGGUGGGGUUCAUGGUCUUAGUUCAUAGGAACUGCGGAAGAGGCGGGAAUUGAAACAGCGCUUCAAAGAGGUGAGAUUUGAACUCAUGGUUAGAGCUGGGUGAAUAACACAUUUUUCUAGUUUUCUGCAAUUCCAAAAAAAAAAAAAUGGAAAUAUUUGGACAAAACAAACAUUUUGGACAAAGCAGGACGC